CCUACGGGAGGCUGCAGUGAGGAAUAUUGGUCAAUGGGCUUACGCCUGAACCAGCCAAGUCGCGUGAGGGAAGACUGCCCUAUGGGUUGUAAACCUCUUUUGUCAAGGAGCAACGCCGGCUACGUGUAGCCGGACUGAGAGUACCUGAAGAAAAAGCAUCGGCUAACUCCGUGCCAGCAGCCGCGGUAAUACGUAGGAUGCAAGCGUUAUCCGGUUUUAUGGGGUUAAAAGGGUGCGUAGGCGGAAUGCCAAGUCAGCGGGAAAAUCGCGGGGCUCAACCUCGCUACGCCGUUGAAACUGGCGUUCUUGAGUGGGCGAGAAGUAUGCGGAAUGCGUGGUGUAGCGGUGAAAUGCAUAGAUAUCACGCAGAACUCCGAUUGCGAAGGCAGCAUACCGGCGCCCAACUGACGCUGAAGCACGAAAGCGUGGGUAUCGAACAGGAUUAGAUACCCGAGUAGUC
rnacentral:rRNA from 1 species